rnacentral:ncRNA from 1 species
GAUUAAGCCAUGCAUGUGUAAGUAUGAACAAAUUCAGACCGUGAAACUGCGAACGGCUCAUUAAAUCAAUUAUAGUUUGUUUGAUGGUAGCUACUACUCGGAUAACUAUAGUAAUUCUAGAGAUAAUACGUGCAACAAACCCCAACUUCUGGAAGGGGUUAAUUUAUUAGGUAAAAGGUCAACGCGGGCUCUGUCUGUUGCUGCGAUGAUUCAUGAUACUCGACGGAUAGCAUGGCCAUCGUGCCAGCAACGCAUCAUUCAAAUUUCUAUCCUAUCAAGUUUCGAUAGUUGGCUAGUGGCCUACCAUGGUGGUGACAGUUGAAAGAGAAUUAGGGUUCGAUUUCGGAGAGGGAGCAUGAGAAAUGUCUACCAGAUUCAAGGAAGGCAGCAGACAC